AGGUGGGAAUUACUAACACUUCUUUGUAAGCAUGUCUGACAGUAUCAAAUAUUUGUUUCUUUUACAGUUGGGCAAAACUGAGGCGGAGGGAAGUUGUGAUUGUCGAAGCCGCAGAUAAAAUGCUUGGUUCUCAAGAUAAUCUCCUCCUUGAUUGCUUAGCAGCUGAAACAGCACCCCACACAGUUCCUCCUGCCCUUUAGGAUAAUCUGUAUUUACAACAUCACGCUGCCAUCUUCCAUUUGGGCCAAUUUCAAGAAUAAACACAAGCAUGCAUGCAAUUUGUAAGCACCAAAAAGGCUUUGUCUAAACAGAACAAAACCUGUUAUGCAUCAUGUCAGAAGAGUUUUGGAGUUGCUCUGAGGACAGUUUUGCAUUUUUAAAUAUCGCAUUAUCUUUGGAUUAGUGUUGGCUUAUGACCUUGGCUUUCAGGAAGUGUUUUGACAGCUGACAAUGAUAAUAGUAGCUCUUAUUUCCAUGAUAAAAUAUGUAGUGUCAGUGGUGAUGCUGUAAUAAAAAUAAAAUAAAUAUUGGCUGUGGUUUCA
rnacentral:lncRNA from 1 species